rnacentral:rRNA from 1 species
AUUGAACGCUGGCGGCAUGCCUUACACAUGCAAGUCGAACGGUAACGCGGGGCAACCUGGCGACGAGUGGCGAACGGGUGAGUAAUGCAUCGGAACGUGCCCAGUAGUGGGGGAUAGCCCGGCGAAAGCCGGAUUAAUACCGCAUACGACCUACGGGUGAAAGCGGGGGACCGUAAGGCCUCGCGCUAUUGGAGCGGCCGAUGACAGAUUAGGUUGUUGGUGGGGUAAAGGCCUACCAAGCCGACGAUCCGUAGCUGGUCUGAGAGGACGACCAGCCACACUGGGACUGAGACACGGCCCAGACUCCUACGGGAGGCAGCAGUGGGGAAUUUUGGACAAUGGGGGCAACCCUGAUCCAGCCAUGCCGCGUGCGGGAAGAAGGCCUUCGGGUUGUAAACCGCUUUUGUCAGGGAAGAAACGCUCUGGGCUAAUACCCUGGGGUAAUGACGGUACCUGAAGAAUAAGCACCGGCUAACUACGUGCCAGCAGCCGCAGUAA